rnacentral:tRNA from 1 species
AGAAAGGUGGCCGAGUGGCUUAAGGCGCACGCUUGGAAAGCGUGUUCCCGAUUUUCGGGACGAGGGUUCGAAUCCCUUCCUUUCUG